CGUAUUUGUGUUCUCAAAUUUUAGGGUUCUUGGAGGGCAUCCAUGGCGACGGAGGAAGCGACCGCGGCGACGAACUGCACAUUCUUCAAGAAGCCUCCCAAGAACAGGAAUCUGAGGAAGCGGCCACAGGAGGAAGAGGCGGCAGGCGAUGGCGCCGGCAGCGGCAGCGACGAGGAGAAAUCCGCGGUUGUCCACAAGCCAAAGGCGCCACGCAAGGGCGGAUUCACGACCGGAGUAGCGCAGCGAUCGGGCGCCGACGAGGCAGCGGCGGCUGGGGCGGGCAGCACGAGCAAGAACACAUUCUUCUACGAGUCCUCCAAGGAGAUCCAGGCCCAGGACAGCUACGCGACCGCGGCGCUAGAGACCGAGACCGAGUUCGACAAGGACGCGCGGGCGCUGCGCGAGAAGGUGCUCCAGGCGGCGGCCAAGCGGAUCAAAUCCUCCAGCGAUCCCUUCGACGCCACCACCAACAAGGAGAAAGGCGAGGACAAAGGAGAGAAGAAACCAGCGAUCUACAAGGGACUCAACGCUUACACCGAUCACCGCGCUGGGUUUCGGCGAGAGAACAGCAUCGCCUCCGAGAAAGCUGGAGGGGCUCACGGGCCUCUCCGCGCGGCCUCCAACGUGAGAAUGUCGGUGAGGUUCGACUACCAGCCGGAUGUUUGCAAGGAUUACAAGGAGACUGGCUACUGCGGUUAUGGCGAUUCCUGCAAGUACUUGCACGACCGGGGGGACUAUAAGUCGGGGUGGCAGCUCGAGCGGGACUGGGAGGAGGCACAGCGGGAAAAGAAGGAGAGGUUGAUGAGGGGGAUCAAGGAGAUGGUGGAAGGCAAAGAGGAGGAUGAGGAGGAGGACGACGAGCUGCCUUUCGCGUGCUUCAUCUGCCGCGAGUCGUUCGUGAAUCCGGUCGUGACGGCUUGCAAGCACUACUUCUGUGAAAGCUGUGCUCUCGAGCACUACAAGAAGAACAAAUCGUGUUUUGUGUGCAACAAGCCCACGAACGGGCUCUUCAACACAGCACACAUCAUUUUGAAGAAGCUAAGGAAGCCAUAGCUGUGGUAAAGUCUUCCUUCUUCUUUGCGAUAAAUCUCUGUUUCUUCUUAGGGCUCUCUUCACUCCAACUAGUAGGGUUUAUGGAGGAGGCAUCGAUCGUGUACCGCUGCAGGAAGUGCCGCCAAAUUGUAGCCACCGACUCGAGCGUCCAGCGCCAUGAUCCAGGCUCCGGCGAGCAGGCCUUCUCGUGGAAGAAGCGAUCCAACAACGACGAGGCCAAACCGCGCGAGUGCUCGUCGAUCUUUGUGGAGCCAAUGCAAUGGAUGAAUGGAGUUCAAGAUGGCAGUGUGGAAGGGAAGCUCUUGUGUAACGUCUGCCAGGCGAGGCUGGGGAGCUUUAACUGGUCGGGGCUACAGUGUAGCUGUGGAGCUUGGGUGAAUCCAGCGUUCCAGCUCCACAAGAAUCGUUUGGAUGCUACUACACUCGUGGUAAGCGAUAGAGAGAAAUAAAAAAAGAACAAGAGGGGAGCUUACUUUUCUCUGAGAAGUUAUCAUCGGAGAAGCAAACCUUCUUCUCCGCCGGGCACCAAUGAAGCCCAGCACUGUCGAUAUAAUCCAUUUUCAAAUAGAUAGGGGAAAGUCUGUCUCUCCCCUUUUAUCAA